AAGUCGUAACAAGGUUUCCGUAGGUGAACCUGCGGAAGGAUCAUUAAAAAAGGAACUACCGACUUGAUUCAAUUGUAAAAUUGAUCAUUUCGGGCACUCCUCCAUCCCAUGUGUGUCUUUAUAGAAUUGUUGCUUUGGUGGGGAAAGCCACUAUUUCCUCUUAUGAGGAAUUUAUGGGCCAAACUUUCCCCACCAAGGGAAGUCGGAGAGGUUCCAUUUGAUUAUGGCCUCUUAAUAUUAUUGCGAGAUUUGAUAACUAUUAUUUCGACUUUUGUCGGAUGAUUGAUAAAUUAUAAAAACUUUCAACAACGGAUCUCUUGGUUCCGGCAUCGAUGAAGAACGCAGCGAAAUGCGAUAGCUAGUGUGAAUUGCAGAAUUUAGUGAAUCAUCGAGUCUUUGAACGCACAUUGCGCCCGUCAGUAUUCCGGCGGGCAUACCUGUCCGAGCGUGUUUUUAUAACAUCAAUUCUUGAUAAGAAGUUGGAGCAUUCCCUAAGUUUACGGGAAGAUCCUAAAGACACUUUUGACGGCAGAUUGGAUGGCCGGGUGUUUUGGAAAAUCCACACUCUGUUGUUUCGAUGCUGACGCCAAUUCUUCUAUAUCCUUGAGGCGUGCAGACGCUUUAGGGUGAAAUUAAUACUCGGAUCAGGUAGGAAUACCCGCUGAACUUAGCAUAUCAAUAAGCGGAGGAAAAGAAACCACAGGGAUUGCCUUAGUAACGGCGAGCGAAGCGCAAUAGCUCAAAUUUGAAAUCUGGCUCUAUUAAAAAGGGGUCCGAGUUGUAAUUUGUAGAGGAUGCUUUGGAAACCGCNNCAACCCAAGUUCCUUGGAAACGGACGUCAUAGAGGGUGAGAACCCCGUUGCUGGUUGGUAUAUUAGCGGCUACCGCGUAAAGCUCCUUCGACGAGUCGAGUUGUUUGGGGAUGCAGCUCUAAAUGGGAGGUAAAUUUCUUCUAAAGCUAAAUAUCGGCCGGAGACCGAUAGCGAACAAGUAGAGUGAUCGAAAGAUGAAAAGCACUUUGGAAAGAGAGUCAAACAGUACGUGAAAUUGUUGAAAGGGAAGCGCUUGCGGUCAGACGCGACUAUGGCCGUUUAGCCAGACGCCUUUGGGGGUCUGGUGAAUUCGGCUAUAGGCUGGGCUAGCGUCGAUCGUGGCGGUCGCUAAAAGACUCGAGGAACGUGGCUCCCUUUUCGGAGGGAGAGCUUAUAGCCUUGGGUGGCAUGUGAUCUGCCGCGAUCGAGGUCGACGUUAAUCCUUCGGGAUUGGCUAGGACGCUGGCAUAAUGGCAGUAAGCGGCC
rnacentral:rRNA from 1 species